AUGACCUCUUAGCAUAACUAUGUGGCGCUUCUUCCCCAAUUAUCCCACCAAUUACAUUCACUCUCCACCUACAUUUCUCCAUUUCCCUAGAACCAGCUCGAAUCUCACUGCAGAUUUACACACACUACACACACAUAGAUGAAUCCAUAUAAUAAUCAAAUCAGUUCUGUAAUUGCCUAAGCUAGCAAUUGAUGUUUGGAUGAGUCGAGUCGAGCUUUCGUUCUCUUUUUCGUGUUAUUAUUGAUCAAGGCAGCACCGAAUUAGUCAUUUCGUGUUGUUAUUGUUGUGUAUAGUACAAAAUUAGGUGUUUUGUGUUAAUUAUGUUUUGAUAUACGGGAUUAAGAGUUUAAUCAUAACAUCGAUCAGCUAAUUUUGCU
rnacentral:lncRNA from 1 species